AACUGUAAGUCUUCAAUUUAGGGUACUUGAAUAUAUUAUUUCCAUUUCUAGUUCUGUGUGGAUUUAAGAGGUAGUUGCAGCACCGUAUGUCUUCUUUUGAAAAGUGCUCAUGUCCUUUACUCACUUUUUGAUGGAGCUGUUUUUCUCUUGUAAAUUUAAGUUCCUUACAGAUGUUGGAUAUUCAGACCUUUCUCAGAUGCAUAGUUUGCAAAUAUUUUCUCCUAUUCUGUAGGUUGUCUAUUUACUCUGUUAUGAUUGCUUUUGAUGUCUUUGUCAUGAAAUCACUGCCCAUUCCUAUGUCCAGAAUGGUAUCGCCUAGAUUGUCUUCCAGGGUUUUUAGAGUUUUAGGUUUUACAUUUAAGUCUUUAAUCCAUUUUGAGUUGAUUUCUGUAUA
rnacentral:lncRNA from 1 species